rnacentral:rRNA from 1 species
AUUGAACGCUGGCGGCAGGCCUAACACAUGCAAGUCGAGCGAGCGGCGGACGGGUGAGUAAUGUCUGGGCAACCUCCUGAUGGAGGGGGAUCACCACUGGAAACGGUAGCUAAUCCCGCAUUCCAUCAGAUGUGCCCAGAUGGGAUUAGCUCGUAGGGGGGGUAACGGCUCACCUAGGCGAGGAUACCGAGCUGGUCUGAGAGGAGGACAAGCAACACUGGAACGGAGACACGGUCAAGAGCCCAACGGGAGGAAGCAGGGGGGAAUAUUGCACAAUGGGGGCAAGCCUGAGAAAGCCAGGCGGGGUGGAUGAAGAAGGCCUUCGGUUGUUAAAGUACUUUCAGCGGGGAGGCGUUACCCGAAGAAGAAGCAACGGCUAACUCCGUGCCAGCAGCCGCGGUAAUAC